UUACCAAGGCUUUGACUGGAAUGUCAUAGUUGAGAGAGAGAUGCAUAGAUUCAGACAUGACCAGACAGCUGUAAGGAACUGCCUGAAACUUGGCUCGGCUUCCUGGCCUCAGAGGCUUUGAAAGAGUCAAAUCUGAGAUUCCUUAUAAAAAGUUCCAGCAAAGCAGUCUUAAAAGAGCUUAUGUGGUCAAUCACCAUUCUUGCUACACUCAUGUAAAUAAUCAGGCCAAGUUUAAUACAAACAAAUUAGUUUUACUCUGAUUAUCUUUGGUAAAAAAUGGGGUAAUUGUAGAGAGAAAAAUUAUGUUUGCACCUUUGUAGAUAUUUAGAUUCUAACCCUGUUAAUUGUCUUUGAGGUUUUGUUAUAUACCUGUAAACUGAACUGGAUCCUAAAUUCUUCUAAUUUUCUCAAAUAUCUGGCUACCACUCUCCAACCGAAUGUUUCCUAUUGCCUCCCAUCCUUCUGAUUUGGAAUCACUGAGACCAAAGACUGUCCUUGAAUCUCCUUGGAAAGGAAUAUACUAGGUCUUCCUCCCGACCCAGAUGGCAGCCAAACCUCCAGGACUUAAACCUUGGCUACACAUCUCACAGUGGAAGAAAGCUCCUCCUGACCUCUGGUCCUUUACAAACACUGAAGACCUCUGAAUCAAACUGAUGAGCAGGAGAAGCAGCUGACAUUGACGUAGACUGCUUCCACCCAAGACACCAGAUCAAGAUUUCCCAUUUUAACUAAACAUGAAACACUGUCUUCCUCUCUUCUUUCCUUUACUCUGGCAUUGGCCUGGCAAGAUAAUGCCACCAUCAUAUCUCCCAAGCCAUUACUAAGGGAGAGCAACCUUUCAGACAGCUGGAUUCAUCAUCAAAAACUCCAAUCUGUUCAUGAUGCUGGAACCCAUGAACAAUGCCACCUGAGCAGUAAUGGUUUACGCCCCAACAGGAUUUAAUUUCAUCGGUGGUGGUGAUCAUUCUCCUUGGACCUAUAAAUGCUUAGAUGGCUAACACAUAACUGGGCAAUGCCCCUUAGGUUAUCUAACUGUGCCACUCAACUGUUCUCAAAUAGGCUAAGACACUUCAUUGGUCAACUCCCCUAAUCAUCCAAUUCGAAAAGACCUGCCAGGAGGCCUUCAUGAUUCAGGAUGUGCUUCUUUCGGCAGGUCCCUACUUCCUUUGUUAGGAGUGAGUACAAAUGAGGCUGUGAUCAGAAAUCCCUCCUUAACUCUUGAAAGUAUUGCAGAAUUCGCUGCUAAAGCAAUAGCUGCCCAAUGAAAAUCUCUAGACUCUCAGCUCAAAGUAGUUCUUGAUAAUAUGACAGCCCUUGAUCAUUUGUUAGCUGAGCAAGGAUGUGUCUGUGCUGUGGCCACCACCGCUGCACCUGGAUUAACACUUCUGGGGAAGCUGAAAUUUAGUUACAUAAAAUCACUGAGUGCGCCACUUGGCUUAAAAAGGUGACUCCUUCAACAGAGUAUUUCUUUCACUUAUUGGAUUUUGAUUGGUUUGGGUCUUGGGGACCAUGGCUCUGAAGUGCACUCCAGACAUGGGAAUUAUCCUACCAGUAACAGUCAUAGUAAUCUCCCUGAUGCACUGUAUUCUCUCAAAAGCUUUAAAUGCGUGUUUGCAGCUGCUAACCAUCAAGCAAAUGAAUGUGAAGUCGUGACCUGUGAAUACCACAGGAUUCAGCAGAAAACCUCAUGACCUGUGACUAUAACACGGAGAAACAGUAAAAGCUGCGAGACCAACAGAGCGGUAGCUGAGAGUGGCACUAAUGCCUUAAAUUUUGAUCACAUCUUUCAAGUUAUGCUAAGAGUCUCAUGCAAAGGGGGAGAACUGUUAAAAAAGAAAAAACAGGAACAAAAUGGUGUCACUUGUGCUAAGUCCCACAUCAAUAAAUCAAGACUUAAUUGCACUUUCAGUCUCUCACAGGAAUGUGACCUUUAACUAGUCAAUCUGGAAUUACCUGGUCGGCAUGAGUGAGUAAUCUGCCUCAUAGAUCCCCACACUACUCUUCCCCAAAGGAAGGUGAUCUUGCCCGAAUCUGCUCUUUGCUAGAAACUUCCUUUAUUCCGUCCCUUCUGCCCAUAACAGCCUUCCACUUUGCAUAGCUCCUUGGACCUCCCUUCUAUUUGCUAGCUGGGAUGCUGCUCAAUUCAUGAAUUGUUGGAUAGAGCCAAUUCGAUCUUCAAAUUUACUCAGUUGGCUUUUGCUUUAAACACCUUAGCAUCAUCAUCCUCUGAAAAUAAUGCUAAUUUUGUCUUUUUUCUAUUACUAUAUUUCUUUCUUUCUCUUAUCUGGGGGACAAAGAGAUUAAUUAGAACACUAAGGUUCCUUAGAGGAUGUAAGACUUCGGUGAAUCUUGCAGGAAUAGCAGCAAUUGGACUGGCUAAGAGGGGAGGAUGACAGAAAUAUAGCCACGCAUUGCUCAAUGAUGGGGAUACAUUCUGAGAAAUGUGUUAGGCAGUUUCAUCAUUGAGCGUACUUACACAAUUCAUCAUAGAGUGUACUCACACAAACCUAGAUGGUAUAGACUACUACACACCUAGGCUAUAUGGUACUAAUCUUACGGGACCACCCUCCUAUAUGCCCUCCGUCCUUGACCCAAACGCUGUUAUGCUGUGCAUGUCUCUAGAUAAAAUUGAGCUGUCCUACUCCCAACUAACGGAAGUCAGUUGAUAGAACCGCUGGUGGCACCUGGAACUCUACAUAUUACAUCACAGAAAAACUCAGACUAGUAGUGUCUUGGAACAUGUUUUGUUCAUAGUAAGUGUGAAAAUAAAGGAAAACCUCUUUUAAAAUGGAGUCAUGAAACCCUGAAGGGGGACCUCUCACGUACAUACCACUCACUGCUGCCUGCCUAACUGGCAGGAAGAUGGACGAUAAGAAUUAUUUUAACCAGGCCUAUUUGUAUAAAAUUCUCUCAGUCCCAACUUCUUAUCCGUGAUGAUAAGAAUGUAACUUUUCUGCUGGUGCAACGGAGGACAUCUUCACCUAGGAAUUUCAUCUCCUGCUUUUAAGAAAAGGAAGGAAGAUCCGUCCCUGCCGCAGCGACAACGCAUUGUCACAACCUUACACUCUUGUUCUUCUCCAAUGAACUUUUAUUCUAAAUAACCCUCCUUAAUUUCCUCCUAACACCUAAUAAAAACUAACUUUCCCCUUGUCUCUUCCAACUUGCCUAUGGUUCACCAUAGUUUGCACGUCCAGAAUUGCAAUUCCUCGGCUAUUCCCAAAUAAACUCAUUUUUUGAGCUUGCCCCCCAGACAGCUUCAUUUAGGUUGACAUAACAGCUAAAGAUAGUUUUAGUCUCUAUUAACAUCACAACCAAAUACUUAAAUCACAACCAAGUACUUAAAAGCCUGACAUAAUUGUAGACUCAUAAGUGAAAUGUCACAUUAUCAUUUUCAAUAAAUCAGCAUCAAUUUAACAUUUCGGAGAGCCCCCCAAAUUCUCAGCACUCAAAUCCAAGACAAGAAAGAUAAAAAACAGUACGACUGCAUUCUGGUUAUCCUAUGAAUUAAAGUGGAGUGAGUGUGAGUGAGUGUGUGUGUGUGUGUGUGUGUGUGUGUUUUAAAGCCUUUUGUUCACCAGCUUCUUUCCCUAUCUUACACUGUACUCCCUAAGGACUGUGUAUAUCAUUUAACUUUCUCCAUUGAACGAUAAACUUCAGAAGGUCUGGCCAUUUUGGUUCUACGGGGUUUCUAUCUCUUGCGCUUUCCCAGAUCAUACCAUGUAUUUAAUAUGCAUUGACCCACCUGUGCAGAAAAGGGACCGUCUAGUCUCAUGCUUAAAUCAGUACUAUGUCACUAUCCAUCGAUCAAUAAGUUGUGCAUUCUCGGUGACAACUGAAUGUUUUCUCUUUCAGCUGAAGUUUAAAGGAGGAGGGGAGUCGACUCCAAAACUGCACACUGGUGUAGCCCCAAACGGAAAUACAGCGAAAGCUCGAGCGACCUCUCCCAGCGCAAACGAGUCCACCCCAGCUUCAGGAAACGAAGGAGUAUGUGGGGUUGCGGAUGACUGGCUUUGGGGCUCAUUCUUUUCACUACAGCGCCCCAGGAGCGGAAGGCAAGCCCAGGCUCCAGGGACCACGCAGUCCCGCUGGGGCUGAGAGCGUCUCCCCCAGGGUGUCCCGGACGCCCGGCAGGAAAGAGCGCCGCCGGGCCGCCGACACCUGAGCGCGCGCCCGGUGGGGCGGGCCGGGAGCCCUCUCUCCCUUCCGCCUGCGACGCGCGUUGUCGGUCGAGCCGGUGUAUGUGCGGUAAUAACAUGUCUGCCCCGCUUCCCGCCAUCAUCCCCGCCGCCCGGAAGGCCACUGCUGCGGUGAUUUUCCUUCAUGGAUUGGGAGAUACAGGCUCCUGAACACUCGGGUCCAGCCAAACCCACCUCCAUCAACGUGCCAGGGACAGGCUGCAUUGCAUUCCUAAGGGUAAGUCUGUUAACUCUACCUUCCCCCACUAGGAAAAUGCCUGUGGCGAUUCAGAAUGAGUCCACAAAUUCUCUGACACUCCCUUCAAAAGGUGGAGCCUAAUUCCCUCCCCUUGGUGUGGGCUGGCCUUGGUGACCAAGUGCUUGCAAGGGACAGAAAACAGUGGCAGUGAGGGUUUUCGGCUCUGGAGACACAGUCACAGAGGUGCCGGUAUCCUGCUUGCCCCCUCUCUUGAUCACUCCGCCCAAGGAAGUGGGGGACCUGUCGCAAGAACACUUCUGCAGCCUGUGCACAUGGAGGCCCAGGGGGCAAGGAACCGAAGCCUCCUACCAAGAGCCAAAGAGGAACUGGGGCCUCCUGCCAACAGCCAUGGGAGUGAGCUGCCUGGAGAGCAGCUCCUCCAGCCCCAGGCAAGCCUUCAGAUGAUUGCAGCCCCUACAAAAUCCUGACUGCAGCCACGACCAACUGGGAAGAAAAUUCUUAUUGGAACAGGAAAACAGCAUAAAAAAAGGAAAAUUCUAUGAGUAAAACAGAAAAUGAAAAAUUUCAAUGCCAUUAAAAGCAGACACACACGAUCAUUCGUGUCGUAUGCCAUUUGAAAAGGUUGUUUUAUCAUCAAUGUAACUAAUCACAAUGAAACCAUCUCUUACAACUAAAGACAUUAUAACGAAUUUUCUUCACAGCUACAGAGAGACGGGAUUUGCUGUUUCACAUCAAAUAGAACAGGCUACAUAAAUUCUUCUUCCUAUUUAUUGUAAAAUAUAAUUUCAUCUAUAAAAUCAGUCAUGAAAUAUUAAAACAAACAACAGACUUUAUAUCCUUUUCUUAAUUUAGUUUGAACGGUCUAUUCGCUCAAAAAGGGGGGAGGUUUGCAAUCACACACAUCUCUAGACUCUUUCACCAUCUCAGCAGGUUCUCUCUAUAAACGUUAUGCCAUUCAUUCGAGAAUGCUAUCAUUUUUCUGUAACUUUCCUGAUCCCCUUUUCCUUAGUUUUCACCUAGCAAAACUGCAUUUCCAUUUUCAAGUUUUCCCUCUAAAUUCUCCUUCUGAAUUCCAUUUUGCUGCUUUUCACUAAAGCUCUGUCAGUGUCUCUCACAUCUCACUGUCAAUUAAUUGUUCUAAGUGAGAAAAGGGCAAAAAAUCUCCAAAGUUUAAACGAUUGUUCUUUGACUAUUUUAACAUACUCCUGUUUUAACUGAUCUAACACAAAUUACAAAAUUAACUCAUCUGAAGUUCUAUCACUUUUCCUUUAUUUACCUUGCCUGCUUUUACUAUCCUGCCUGCUGGUAUAGGGUGUUAAUGAUUCAAAUCAUAAAAAAUGGGUAAAGGAAGUCAGGAGCGAAAACAGGACUAUAUAUGAAGUUAGACUCUUCAAAAGGAAAACCAAAAAGACUAAGUUUCAAUGUGCUCACUGUCUAUAGUGUAUAAGACUCAUCUACAAAGUUCUGGAACACCUGAAAUAAGCAACUUGCUUUUCAACUUUAAACACAGAUGUUUUAGAACAAAUUUAAAGUAUUAAUUUAUACACCAAGGGACAAACUUACCAAAAUGACGGAAGAAGUUAACAUUUAAAUUAUAUAUAAAUCCAAUGGUUUAGGCAAAUUCUAGAACUUUAAAACCAUUUGAGAGGGGAGAGAAGCAGCACGUGGGUACUUCCUCAGCUACCAAGGAUCGCCAGGGCACCCCUCCAACAAAGUACUCUUUCCUGCUGACACUGAUAGGAAAUGUCCCCAGGACAACAUCUUACAUACUCUCAAGUGAACAAAAAGAUAUGGGCAAAUAAAAGGAGAAGAAGAGGAAAAUGCGAAAAACUUCCCUACUGGAAUUCUUUCCUCAAUACCUGAAAUUUAAGUCACUAAUCUAACAACGCUUCCCCGGGGCCGGUCAAGCCUCAUUAUCUUCUUCACCCUCGGAUCACGGGAUUAUCAAAUUCUUUCUCUACCACAAGUAUCAGUAUUUUCCAAGAUUUUUGUAUCUUAAUGUCACGGUCAUUAGCACUUCCUUAGGCCCAUUCCUCACUAACUUUAGAAGCACAUCCUGCUUAACACUGUUCAAAAAUUAUUUAAAUACACUGUUUUCGUUGUCCCUCAGUCACAAACAAAUGUAGAUAUUAAUCAAACAGAAUACUAAUCUGUGAUAGGAAAAAGCUGUAACCAAAGCCCUGUUAGACACAGUACGUCCGCUAGUUCCUGUGACUGCAUCUAUUUCUAU
ensembl:lncRNA